CGGAAGGCUCCUUCCCUCUGCGGCAACCCAGACCUUCCCCGCUGUCCAGUGGGAGGAAUGGAACCUCCUGCCACCUCCCCGCUAACACCUCCCAUGCAGGCGGAGCGCCAGGCACCGCCCCCAUCGGUCUCAGAACUACAUUUCCCAGCGAUCCUCGCGCGCCUCUCGGGCUUGGGCUCCUUGGCGGACACGGAGCGGCGGGCGUGACAAGGCGCGGGGCCUUCUGGGACUGGUAGUUUGGUGGGCGGCGCUCGCGCACACUUGGACCGGGGUUUGAAUUCCGCCCAGCCUCAGACGGCUUCGGGAGAAGGAGGGCUGUACCAGGCGCAGUGAGUUCGCGGCGGGAGAGGACCAGGAGCUAGGGGAAGGGAGAGGGAGGCCCAGGAUGCUGCAUCUCAGUGCCAUGGAGGGCAGGGGUGCCGUGGAGGUGGAGGCCUGGCUGCCCAACACAGGAGUUCUGCCUUCUCAGAGCCCUGCUCCUACUUCAGAGAAGCUCUCCAAAAAGAAGGGAAGAAUACCAGUCAGGUCCCUGCCGGCCUGGAGCAUGAUGUGGAGACUUGAGGCACGGGAAGGCAAGUCCUCAGCCACCCGCCUGGCUCCCACACUGAGGGGUGCAGACCCCACCCCCGGAGUGAACACUGUCCCAUCUGCUGCUCUCUCCCCCUGCAGCUGCUCCCUUUGCUUUGGCUCCUCCUUGUACACCGUGGCUCCAGCUCUGCAGGGCCUUGGCUUUGUAGCCUUUCCUAGCAUUUCAGGAAAUGGGCACGGGUCGCAUCUCUGCGACCACAGCCCCUAGGCCCCUCUGCACCUACGCCCCCUGCACCUGUGCCCCGUGGCCCUCUGCAUCCCAGCCUGGGGCUGGAGACCUCUAACCACACGGGUCUGGUUGCAGUAACAUGACAGUCCAAAACACAGCUGCUUCACUCAAACGACGUUACUUACUCCUCACCGUGACAGUGUUUGGACAGCCCGGGAGCGUGCCUCUGCCCCGCGUGACCCAUCCACAUUCAGGGGCAUUCCAAGGGGAACGUGCUUAGUUUCUCAAAAGCCAAAGGCCAGAAGACACGCCUCUCUUCUGCUUGUACUUCAUCGGCCAGAGCAUAGCCACGUGACUGCCCCCGCUCCAAGGAAUGCUGGGAAACGUAGUCUGGCUGUGCAAUCAUGGGCUCAACUGUAGCUUCCAUUAUUAUGGCAAAAAAAAAAAAUGGAUAUUAUGUCCACCACUGACCUGGUCUGUUAUGUUAAUCUAUCCCAGCGCCAGGCUGUGAUGAGCACAUGAGUGAAUAAAGCUACUCUCCAAGCCUGCAAUCCUUUCUCCCAUUGACUAGAAUCCCCUCCCCUUUUAAACAUGUAUUUAGAAUAAUUGACAUUUCUUGAGCACCAAGCAUGGACUGGGCACAGAGCUAAUGUCUUUACCUAUUUUCAUCCACCUAAGCCUCACAACUCUAGGAUGUGGUACUGUAUUAUCUCCAUCUUCAAGAUAAGAGAAUGGGGGUGCAGGGUUCACGUCACUUGUCUGAGGUCAUACAUACUAAGUAGUCAAGCCAAGAUUCGAACCCAGGCAGUCUGGCCCUAUAGCCUAUGCUCUUAACUGUCGUGGUAUCGACCUAACUCAGUGGAAACAGAAAUUCCCAGGUGGCCAUACAACUGGUGAGUGAAAGGGCCACUUUCAGCAUUCAUAGCAUCCCUUCAUUCAUCUCUUCACAUCACACGUGAACACUCAGAGUGUGCUCUGUGGCUGCAGUAAUGGUGUGUAAACAACAACAAAACCCACAGAACAUCAGGAGCACACAGCAAUAAGGAUUUGGCUAUGUGGCUCUGCUGGUGUUGCUGGGCUCCUUUACAUGUCUGGUGGACCCUGGUGGACAGCUGCUGGACAGGUGCCUGGUCAGCUGACCUGGGGUGGCUUUUCUCAGAGGACUGGGGUGACUUGGCAUUGCUCUACAUAUCGUUCAUCCUCCAGAGACUAGCUGGGGCACAUCCUCACUCAUGGAGGCAGUAGAGGCACAAGAAAGACGUGAGUGCUGAUUGCUUCUAUCAUACCACCAACAACACCACACUGGCCACGGCAAGCUCCAAGGCCAAGUAAAGGUUUGGAACAGGAAUGCACUGCACAGCCACAUAGCAAAGGGUUUGGAUAUGGGGCAGGGUGGAAGAGCCCAGGCCUUAUUUGCAAGCUGACACAACACUGAACUCUGAACCCAUCCCAAACUUCUGUUGGCUUUCCUCCUAGUGUCCUGGGCCAAACGAAGGAUCAGGCCCUUGGUGAAUAGGAAUGGGGGUUUGGGUUACAGGAACCUGUGAUCUUCAGGGAUGUGGCCAUGUACUUCACCCAGAACGAGUGGCAGCUGCUGGAGCCUGCGCAGAAGGACCUAUACAGGGAUGUGAUGCUGGAGAACUAUGGGCACCUGGCAUCUUUGGGUAAGGACAAGUCGCACAGUUCAGAAGACUUGGAUGAGCUUACCCCUAGGACUGGUCCCAUGUGCUAAGGGUUGGUGGUUUCAUUCUAAGACUGGCUCUGCUCAUGGUCUGAAGACAGCUGCCAGCGGCCACCGACAGGCCCUCAUUGUAGUUCACUCGCAACAGAAGUGGUAGAAUGAUUGGUACUGGUAUUCCCUCCAAAAGUCUGACUUUUGCUCCCAUUAGAACUGGCUUCAGUCAUAUGACUGCUGCUAAGCCAAUCACAGUGGCCAGUGCAACAGGAAGAGGCUGAUUGGUGCCGUCCUCUUUGAGGGUGGGCUCUGCUCUCUGGGAACUGCAGGUGUACCCCUUACUAGGAAUUUGGGCAGGUGUGAUGGGGGAGAUGGAGGCUGGUGAGGCAGAAGCCCUGUACUUCCUCUGGAGGGCCUUCGUAUCAUUGUGAUGUGAUUUAUAAUGAGAAAGAUAUAUUCGGUCUCCCUCCUGUUUCUAGCACAGAACUCCUAAGCCUUUUGAAUUUCGUACGUGGUGAGAGGGAUAAAUGCAUCUUUUGCUAUGUUUGUAAGGUGACUUUGAGAAAACCCCUCAGGAUGAGAGCUGGUUGCUAGGGGAAGCAACUUUGGGUCUCACCCCUGACCUCCAGGGAGGUUGAAUCAGUCACCAAUGGCCAGUGAUUUAAUCAACUAUGUCUAUAAUUAAGCUUCCAUAAAAACCCCAAAUGAUAGUGUUUGCAGAGCUUCCAGGUUGGUAAGCAAGUGAAGCUCCGGGGAGAGAGGUGGCCUCAGAGGGCAUGGAUGCCCCACACCCUUUCCCCACACCUGGCCCUCGACAACUCUUCCACCUACUGUUCCUGAGUUCUAUCCUUUAAUAAUAAAUCAGUGAUCUAGUGAGUAAAACAUUUCUCUGAGUUCUGUAAGCUGCUCCAGCAAAUUCAUCAAACCCAAGAAGGGGAUCAUUGCAACCUCUGAUCCAUAGCCUGCCAGUCAGAGGUACCAGUGACAACUUGGAUUUGUGAUUGAUGUCUGAAUUGGGGGAGGGGAUCAGCUUUGUGGGACUGAGCCCUCCACCUGUGGGAUGGGAUACCACCUCCAGGUAGGUAGUGUCAGAAUUGAGUUGAAUUAUAGGACCCCAGCAGUGUUGGAGAGAAUUGCUUGGGGGCAGGGGUAGGACCCACACUCUGUAAUUGGGAGCAGAAAUAUAAACACACUUCUCUGUGCAAAUCUGGGUCUGGGGGGCAUCCAGAACUUCUUUUCUUCUGUGGAGCAGGGCAUUGGUUCUUCAAACCCAAGCUGAUCACCAGGUUAGAGCAAGGAGACGAGCCCUGUGUCAAGGAGAGAGGCAUCCCUCCAGCUCCCCAGCGAGGCAGUGCUGGAAUCAGUGGGAGCCGCAUCUCCACAG
rnacentral:lncRNA from 1 species